rnacentral:rRNA from 2 species
GCAGUCGAACGAACUCUGGUAUUGAUUGGUGCUUGCAUCAUGAUUUACAUUUGAGUGAGUGGCGAACUGGUGAGUAACACGUGGGAAACCUGCCCAGAAGCGGGGGAUAACACCUGGAAACAGAUGCUAAUACCGCAUAACAACUUGGACCGCAUGGUCCGAGCUUGAAAGAUGGCUUCGGCUAUCACUUUUGGAUGGUCCCGCGGCGUAUUAGCUAGAUGGUGGGGUAACGGCUCACCAUGGCAAUGAUACGUAGCCGACCUGAGAGGGUAAUCGGCCACAUUGGGACUGAGACACGGCCCAAACUCCUACGGGAGGCAGCAGUAGGGAAUCUUCCACAAUGGACGAAAGUCUGAUGGAGCAACGCCGCGUGAGUGAAGAAGGGUUUCGGCUCGUAAAACUCUGUUGUUAAAGAAGAACAUAUCUGAGAGUAACUGUUCAGGUAUUGACGGUAUUUAACCAGAAAGCCACGGCUAACUACGUGCCAGCAGCCGCGGUAAUACGUAGGUGGCAAGCGUUGUCCGGAUUUAUUGGGCGUAAAGCGAGCGCAGGCGGUUUUUUAAGUCUGAUGUGAAAGCCUUCGGCUCAACCGAAGAAGUGCAUCGGAAACUGGGAAACUUGAGUGCAGAAGAGGACAGUGGAACUCCAUGUGUAGCGGUGAAAUGCGUAGAUAUAUGGAAGAACACCAGUGGCGAAGGCGGCUGUCUGGUCUGUAACUGACGCUGAGGCUCGAAAGUAUGGGUAGCAAACAGGAUUAGAUACCCUGGUAGUCCAUACCGUAAACGAUGAAUGCUAAGUGUUGGAGGGUUUCCGCCCUUCAGUGCUGCAGCUAACGCAUUAAGCAUUCCGCCUGGGGAGUACGGCCGCAAGGCUGAAACUCAAAGGAAUUGACGGGGGCCCGCACAAGCGGUGGAGCAUGUGGUUUAAUUCGAAGCUACGCGAAGAACCUUACCAGGUCUUGACAUACUAUGCAAAUCUAAGAGAUUAGACGUUCCCUUCGGGGACAUGGAUACAGGUGGUGCAUGGUUGUCGUCAGCUCGUGUCGUGAGAUGUUGGGUUAAGUCCCGCAACGAGCGCAACCCUUAUUAUCAGUUGCCAGCAUUAAGUUGGGCACUCUGGUGAGACUGCCGGUGACAAACCGGAGGAAGGUGGGGAUGACGUCAAAUCAUCAUGCCCCUUAUGACCUGGGCUACACACGUGCUACAAUGGAUGGUACAACGAGUUGCGAACUCGCGAGAGUAAGCUAAUCUCUUAAAGCCAUUCUCAGUUCGGAUUGUAGGCUGCAACUCGCCUACAUGAAGUCGGAAUCGCUAGUAAUCGCGGAUCAGCAUGCCGCGGUGAAUACGUUCCCGGGCCUUGUACACACCGCCCGUCACACCAUGAGAGUUUGUAACACCCAAAGUCGGUGGGGUAACCUUUUAGGAACCAGCCGCCUA